rnacentral:lncRNA from 1 species
UUUUUUUUUUUUUGUGACCAGCUGGCUACCAAUUGAUUUUGUUUCUAUCACCACAACCGAGAGACCAUUUACAGAGGUUUGCAUAGAUGAUAAUUAUGCUGUCUAAUUAGUAAUAAAGUAUCAUUUAUUGAUAAUUUACAUACUAAGUACUUCACUAUACACAUGGAAUAUUGUAGUCCCAAAAUAAUAGAAAGCAUACAAUGAGGUUACAAUUUUUAUACAACAGGAAAUGACAGGAAUUGCCAACUAGGCAAGUUAAGAAACUUACCUAAGGGGUGGAGAACUGACUCAGAGGUGAAGAGCUCUGGCUGCUUUUCCAGAAGACCCAGGUUCGAUUCCCAAAACCCACCAUGGCAGCCCGCAACUGCCUACAACUCCAGUUCCAGGGGAUCUGCUACCCUCUUCUGACCUUUAUGGGUACAGACAUUUAUACAACCAAAACUUACCAGUACAUAUAAAAUUUAAAAAUUAAAAAUAAAAAAGUGCUCUUAAAGAUGGAAGUGACAGAGAUCACUACUGAUCUGUUAAAUAUGUGCCAUAUAGACACAGAGCUCAGAAGCUAGUCUGGGUCUAUGUUCUUGUUGGGUAAACAAAAAUAACCCAAGGACUUAUUAUAGGGGCACAGAUCAAUCAAUUAGAAGCUGAUUUGAGUUGGGACCCAGAAACCUGAAUAUUCUUAAUACUCCCAGCUAACUCCCACAUAUGAAUAAGCUCAGAUGAUUCUCAAGAUCUGAAGGGGGAUGGUUCCAGAGCCUCAGCAGUGACCAAAAAUCUGUGACACUCAAGUUCUUUAUAUAAAACGGUGCGGUGUUGCCUUGUAGCCUAUUGAGUCUAACUGAUGCUAUAAGUCACCUCUGAGGUGCCUCUACCUACUACAGUGUAAAAUGUUAUGUAAGUAGAUCUAUAGGCAAUGAUGAAGAUGGGAAAGUCUGUACGCAUGCAGUGAGGACACAACUGUCCCAGAGCCAACAACACAGCACACAAGAGCAACAUUCAACUUGAGACUUCGUCCAGGACUUCCUCAAGCAGGUCCAUUUACAGGAAAGAGAUUGCGUAUAAAGGCUGCAAGAACGUCUUUAAAUUGGGUCCUUGUACAUGCACUCCUUAGAAAUUCUUUGUUCUCCAACAGGUCUACCAAUUUGACAGCUGGUUUAAGUAAGCUAAUCUCUGUGCACACUCUGGUUUGCCAAGUGUUCCUCGAAUGCUGAGCCGACCAACCAGUGUAGGAGCAAACGGCAGAUGCCUGAAGGCCUUUGUGUUCCUUCUAAGUCCUCAGACUUCCCAGGUCUUCACCUUCCCACUGCCUCAAAGUUCAAAUUCCCAGAAAGUCUAUACAUAAACACUUAGCUUCAUAAUUACCCUCUCCAGCCCCACCUUUUGGACAGCAGCUAAUUUGACAGGGCUUCAUUUCCUUACAACCAGUUCUGGCUAGCUGGUAACACACACACACACACACACACACACACACACACACACACACACACACAGAGCACUUGGCAGAUCCUGGCUAGCUGGUAACACACACACACACACAGAGCACUUGGCAGAUCUAUAAAUCCCCAGCCAAGAUGCGUUACUCACUCAUACUGUCCAUCCCCCACCCCUCUUCUUGGACAUUUCACUUGAUAAGUAAGAAGCCUCUAGAAUGACCUGGCUCAGGAUUAGUGUCCUCUAUCUGGCCUUUGAAAAUCAAAUGACUAGCAGGAAGGAUACAAGGAAACAGAGAGCCCAUUUAGCCACUCUGUCCCUCAGGCUAAGUCCCCUUGUAAGGCUUCUCUCUCAGCUGUAACAGAGAACAGGACGUGGAUUAAUAGCCCAGCUGGUAUCCAUACCUGUUUUGAUUCGACCAUGUAAUGUCCAUCACGGGCUAAUGGUUUGAAUUUGGUCACCAGCUAGUGAUGCUACGCUUGGAGGUUUCAAAACCUCUGGGUGAUGAGACCUAGAGGGGGGAUAUACAACCCUGGAAUGGAUGCUUGGGAGUUCUGUUUCCACCUCAGUAUCAUCCCCCAACCCCGCCUUACCUGUGUAAGCUUCCCUCUGCCACGUGCUCCUCCUGCCAUAUCACAAGGACCAAAUGACCAUGGGCUAAAUGUUCUGCAGCCAUCAGCCAAAAUAAUUGCUACCUUGUAAGCAUAACAUACAUACAUAUGUAAGUAUGUGUGUGCGUGUGUAUGUAAAUGUAUGUGUGUGUGUGUGUGUGUGUGUGUGUGUGUGUGUGCGUGUGUAUGUAUGUAUGUGGUGUGUGUGUGUGUGUGUGUGUGCGCGCGCUAUCUAUCUGGCCACCUCAAUGAGAAAAGAAACCCAGCAUACCUCUGUGAUGGUUAAUGUCAACUGUCGAUUUGAUGACUUAGAAUCAUCUGGGAGGUGAGUCUCUGGGCAUACCUGUGAGGGAUACCUUAAUUGGGUUAGUUGAGAUGGAAGACUCAUCUAAGGUAGCAGCAUUCCAUGGGAGGGGAUUCUGGACUAUGGGCUGAAUAAGCAUGUACCACUCUCCAUUUCUUGACUAUGGAUACAAUGUGGCCAGUUGCCCCACGCUCCAGUGAAUAUCCUACCACUGUAGACUGAACGCUGACCUUGUGAUAGUAAUAAACCCUUCCUGCCUAAGUGGCAAUUGACC